CUGAAUAACUACGCUGAUCGCACGGUCUCGUACCGGCGACGUAUCCUUCAAGUGUCUGCCUUAUCAACUUUCGAUGGUAGUCUAUAAGCCUACCAUGGUUGUAACGGGUAACGGAGAAUAAGGGUUCGACUCCGGAGAGGGAGCCUGAGAAAUGGCUACCACUUCCAAGGAAGGCAGCAGGCGCGCAAAUUACCCACUCUCAGAACGAGGAGGUAGUGACGAAAAAUAACGAGACAGUUCUCUAUGAGGUCUGUCAUCGGAAUGGGUACAAUCUAAACCCUUUAACGAGGAUCUAUUGGAGGGCAAGUCUGGUGCCAGCAGCCGCGGUAAUUCCAGCUCCAAUAGCGUAUAUUAAAGUUGUUGCGGUUAAAAAG
rnacentral:rRNA from 1 species